rnacentral:lncRNA from 1 species
AAAAAAUCCCGAAAUUGUAAGUAAAUUCAUAACAUGUAACCAACCAUGCUUUGUUAAGAAAAAACGGAGAUGGCCAAUCAUGGCACAGGGGAUGAUUAAAUGUAGAUUAUAAACUCCAACGAUAUACUGCAUGAGGUUUUGCUAUUCUCGGUUGAAAAACGAACGUAAAUUAUAUAUUGUAAAUAUUAGACCGUUGGUUUCCCCGUUUGAAUGGUUUUACACUAGUAAUUUUGGGGCCCUUUAUAGCUUGUUGUUUAGUGUGAGCCAAGGCUCUGUGUUGAAAGCCGUACAUUGACCUUUAAUGGUUUACUUUUAUAAAUUGUUAUUUGGAUGGAGGUUUGUCCCAUUGGCACUCACACCACAUCUUCCUAUAUCUAUGUAAAUAGGAACAAACAGUUUUUAAAAAAGUGUUUAUUCAUUAAAUCAUGUAAAUGUAUUGAUAAAAGGUGAGUUUCUUCUUGUACAUGCA